rnacentral:tRNA from 2 species
GGUGGGGUUCCCUCCCGAGCGGCCAAAGGGAGCAGACUGUAAAUCUGCCGUCAUCGACUUCGAAGGUUCGAAUCCUUCCCCCACCACCA